AAAGAUGAAGUGAACUGAAUUUCACUCACACAGAAUUCCGUUUCUUUUUUAAUUCAUUAUAGUGAAGCCGCAAAAAUCUCUUUGCAUUUGUGAAUUGAAUUCUCUUCUGUCACAAAUGUUGAGCAACUGUCUCUUCUUUAGCGGGAAAUUUAAACUGAAACAGAUCUACGGGAAGAGGGAAAGCAUGUUCUAUUGAAACCAACUAUGCUCUGGCGCAUUCAUUUUUAUUGAUGAGACUUUUCCAUAUAUACAAGAAGUGCGCUAUAGAAUCACUUCCUCCGCUCUGAUUGUUGGCUGUUAUUUGAUCAGUUUACUAAGGAUGAUGUCAGGACUGAAAGUCUAAGCAAGAGAGGAAAGUCAUUAUUCCUAAAAUAAUACCCCUCCCUCGUCAGCCCAAAGAGAAAUCAGGGUUCCGUGCCCUGUGGGAAGUCCAAGGACCACCCACCUCCAUCCAGGAAGAAUGUACAGUAACCCCUUUCAAACUCUGCCCUGCACGCCUCUCAACACGGGUUCCCUGAGCAAGAAAGGCCAGGGCAAGAAGGAAGCAGAUUGCCAUCUCCGGGCCUAGCAGACUGACCGCGUGCACACACGCUGCCAGCAUUCCUUUGGAAACAGAUGUUCCUACAGAGGAAUGGUUGACAUGUCUCCUCUUACAUUUGUUCAGUAAAUGUUAAUUGUGAAAAGUAUGAGUUUUAA